rnacentral:rRNA from 1 species
AAUGAACGCUGGCGGCGUGCCUAAUACAUGCAAGUCGAGCGAACAGAUAAGGAGCUUGCUCCUUUGACGUUAGCGGCGGACGGGUGAGUAACACGUGGGUAACCUACCUAUAAGACUGGGAUAACUUCGGGAAACCGGAGCUAAUACCGGAUAAUAUUUCGAACCGCAUGGUUCGAUAGUGAAAGAUGGUUUUGCUAUCACUUAUAGAUGGACCCGCGCCGUAUUAGCUAGUUGGUAAGGUAACGGCUUACCAAGGCGACGAUACGUAGCCGACCUGAGAGGGUGAUCGGCCACACUGGAACUGAGACACGGUCCAGACUCCUACGGGAGGCAGCAGUAGGGAAUCUUCCGCAAUGGGCGAAAGCCUGACGGAGCAACGCCGCGUGAGUGAUGAAGGUCUUCGGAUCGUAAAACUCUGUUAUUAGGGAAGAACAUACGUGUAAGUAACUGUGCACGUCUUGACGGUACCUAAUCAGAAAGCCACGGCUAACUACGUG